GACAGAGCAACAAGCAGGGGAGGAUUCCACUCCUCACGUUAGUAACCUGUGCUGACUGUGAGGACUACAGACUGUGUGUGGCAGUGACUGAUGAAUGAUGACAGGACCCAAAUGCAGUUCCCAGAUUUAUUAAGUAAUGCAAACACCAAAGACUUACUGAACUGGUGAAACAAAAGCACACAAGGAGAUUCCCGGCAAACUCGACAGAACUUGUCAAACAGAACUGACAAAGACAGAGGGGAAGACAAGGGGCUGAGGAAAGGAGCUGGGGGUCACAUAGACAGCAGGGGCAAAUGGGCCGGACAGACACACUGCUGCUCAGGAGGACGGACAAAAAGACGGAGCCAUUCUGAAGGAUGUCAGCAAGGAUGAAGUUUCCACACUGUGAAAACUGAGUGAUCUGUGCCAACAGAAG